rnacentral:rRNA from 1 species
AUUGAACGCUGGCGGCAGGCCUAACACAUGCAAGUCGAACGGUAACAGGAAGAAGCUUGCUUCUUUGCUGACGAGUGGCGGACGGGUGAGUAAUGUCUGGGAAACUGCCUGAUGGAGGGGGAUAACUACUGGAAACGGUAGCUACUACCGCAUAACGUCGCAAGACCAAAGAGGGGGACCUUCGGGCCUCUUGCCGUCGGAUGUGCCCAGGUGGGAUGAGCUAGUAGGUGGGGUAACCGCUCACCUAGGCGACGAUCCCUAGCUGGUCUGAGAGGAUGAUCAGCCACACUGGAACUGAGACACGGUCCAGACUCCUACGGGAGGCAGCAGUGGGGAAUAUUGGACAAUGGGCGCAAGCCUGAUGCAGCCAUGCCGAGUGUGUGAAGAAGGCCUUCGGGUUGUAAAGUACUUUCAGCGGGGAGGAAGGGAGUAAGGUUAAUACCUUGGCUCAUUGACGUUACCGGCAGAAGAAGCACCGGCUAACUCCGUG